rnacentral:rRNA from 1 species
CCCUUAGAUGUUCUGGGCUGCACGCGCGCUACACUGAUGCAUGCAACGAGUUUUCGACCUUGCCUGAAAAGGUUGGGUAAUCUGUUUAACAUGUGUCGUGAUGGGGAUAGACCAUUGCAAUUAUUGAUCUUCAACGAGGAAUUCCUAGUAAGCGCGAGUCAUCAGCUCGUGCUGAUUAUGUCCCUGCCCUUUGUACACACCGCCCGUCGCUCCUACCGAUUGAGUGAUCCGAUGAAUGAUUCGGACCAGCGUGCUGCUCAGAUCCUGCGCAGUGUGCUGGGAAGUCUAGUGAACCUUAUCACUUAGAGGAAGGAGAAGUCGUAACA